rnacentral:rRNA from 1 species
ACAUGGCUCCUUGUUUUCCUACAUAGGGAGUCGGACCUGCUCGGUGAAUAUAUUUUAACAGCCGCGGUACUCUGACCGUGCAAAGGUAGCAUAAUCAUUUGCCUUAUAAUUGAAGGCUAGUAUGAAUGGUUUGACGAGAAUUAAGCUGUCUCUUUUUAACUAAAUAUAACUUUAUUAAGAGGUGAAGAAGCCUGUAUUUUAUUGAAAGACAAGAAGACCCUAUCGAGCUUUAAAGAAUUUAGUAGAUUUACCAUAUAUUAAUAAAAAAGUAAAGCAACUAAAUAUUUUGGUUGGGGCGACUGAGGAACAAGCAAAGCUUCCUUUAUGCUAAUUAAAACUUACAAGUAUUGAUCCAAUUUAUUUGAUUAAAGAAAUUAGUUACCGUAGGGAUAACAGCAUAAUCUCCUUUGAGAGUUCUCAUCGAAAAGGGGGUUUGUGACCUCGAUGUUGGACCAGAAUACCCAGAAGAUGCAGCCGUCUUCAAUGGUUGGUCUGUUCGACCAUUAAAAUUCUACAUGA